CCUACGGGAGGCAGCAGUGAGGAAUCUUGGUCAAUGGACGAGAGUCUGAACCAGCCAAGUAGCGUGAAGGAUGACUGCUCUAUGGGCUGUAAACUUCUUUUAUAAAGGAAUAAAACGACGCACGUGUGCCUUUUUGCAUGUACUUUAUGAAUAAGGAUCGGCUAACUCCGGGACAGCAGCCGCGGUAAUACGGAGGAUCCGAGCGUUAUCCGGAUUUAUUGGGUUUAAAGGGAGCGUAGAUGGGUUGUUAAGUCAGUUGUGAAAGUUUGCGGCUCAACCGUAAAAUUGCAAUUGAUACUGGCAAUCUUGAGUACAGUUGAGGUAGGCGGAAUUCGUGGUGUAGCGGUGAAAUGCGUAGAUAUCACGAAGAACCCCGAUUGCGAAGGCAGCUUACUAAACUGUGACUGACAUUGAUGCUCGAAAGUGUGGGUAUCAAACAGGAUUAGAUACCCCGGUAGUC
rnacentral:rRNA from 1 species